GGGGAAAAAAAAAAGCCCUAAAUAUUCUUUUUUUAUUGUUGUUUAGACCGCUUUUAGGCUUGUUUUGGGAGAGGAGCUCUGGGACACCAGUAUGGGAUCCCACCAGCCUGUCGUGCCAGAGCUGGGGACAGAGCUGGGUGCUUGUCCCCUCGUGUCCCACCACCCCUGCCACCUGCUUCCAGAGCCUUUCCUGGAGCCUCCAAAAGUCCUCCCCACGUCACUGGCACCUGGUUGUCCCAGCAGCUCCAGGGAGAAGAAAUGCCCCAGGAUGGGGCUCAGGAGGUGUCCAUGGGCAGCGAUCUCCUUCCCGGGACACCAACCCCGAGGCGAGUUCCUGGGACACUCACCCACAGGGAAGCAUCGCCCUCAUCCUCACUAGACCUGGAGAAGACUUUUGGUUCCAAGGAGGGAGAAGAUUCCUGAGCCUGACCACUUGCAGAAAUGAAAGAAAAACACAAAAGGGACUUAUUUUUAAUUUUUUUAACCUGAUGUCCCUGGGAGCAAGUUCAAUCCCUGCGGAGAGCUGAGCAAGAAGAGCUGCUUUAGGUGGACCUUCUUUGGCAGGGGGUUGGACUAGAUGAUCUCCAGAGGUCCCUUCUGGAGGGAGAACUUCAGAAGCUGAAAGCUGGUGGCUCCUGCCGAUGCCCGGUGGUGGCAAGGUCUUCCCUUUCCAUGAGCAAAAUUCUAGGCUGGUUACUCACCCAUCACAAGUGCUCCCGAGGCUGGAAAAAGAAAUUCACUCCGACAAAAUUGAGGAGAAAUUGAGGUUUUCUUUUUAAUAUAAGCCCAUGUUUGUCUUAUGCAAGGGAGAAGGAACCGCGGCGCUGCUUGCUCUGCUGAAUCAAAGGCCAACGUUGGAGGGGUUGGGAUCUCAGAUGGUUGAUGGACAUCUAGGAAGAAUGAGGUUAUGGCUCCCUCCUUCCUGAAGGUUUUAUGCUUGAGGUCUCUUGGUGGAACCCAAAAACCACCCCGAGACCCAAAUGAAGUCUAUUUAAAUAUUCCCUGAGCUCGUCCCAAGACUUGCUCUGAAAAAGGCACUUAAAAGGAAAUAUUCUCCACAAGAAACUGAACAGAUUUGAGGCCACCGGCUCCAGGGCGGUGGCUUUGAGGACCACAGGCAGCUCCACCACCUCCGUAUUCCCCUCCGUGGGGAAGAUGGAGGGGGUGAGACACCCCCAGCCAAGUGGGGCAUCUAAAACCUCCAGAGGGGGUGUGUGUUUGUGUCUACUGCCAAGAAAGGAGCUCUUUUUCUUUCCUUCUCCCCCUCAAAGAGCAGCACCCCAUGGUACCUACCCCACCAUCCAGCCCCAAAAAGGGUCACACCACGGGGCUGUUGCUCUCCUUCA